rnacentral:rRNA from 1 species
UACGGGAGGCAGCAGUGGGGAAUAUUGCACAAUGGGCGAAAGCCUGAUGCAGCUAUGCCGCGUGUAUGAAGAAGGCCUUAGGGUUGUAAAGUACUUUCAUCGGGGAGGAAAAAACAAAACUAAUAAUUUUAUUUCUUGACGUUACCCGAAAAAGAAGCACCGGCUAACUCCGUGCCAGCAGCCGCGGUAAUACGGAGGGUGCUAGCGUUAAUCAGAAUUACUGGGCGUAAAGAGCACGUAGGUGGUUUUUUUAAGUCAGAUGUGAAAUCCCCUGGGCUUAACCUAGGAACUGCAUUUUGAAACUGAAAUACUAGAGUAUCGUAGAGGGAGGUAGAAUUCUAGGUGUAGCGGUGAAAUGCGUAGAUAUCUGGAGGAAUACCUGUGGCGAAAGCGGCCUCCUAAACGAAUACUGACACUGAGGUGCGAAAGCGUGGGGAGCAAACAGGGAUUAGAUACCCGU